UCGCCUGUUUUAUCCAAAAACAUAGCCCUAAGAAAUUAAUUUAGGGUAAGGCCUGCCCAAUGAAUUUUUAAAUGGCCGCGGUACUUUGACCGUGCUAAGGUAGCAUAAUCAGUUGACUUUUAAAUGAAGUCUGGAAUGAAAGGGAGAACGGAAUUUAGCUGUCUCAAGUACUUUAUCUCGAAGUUACUAACUAGGUGAAAAGGCCUAGGAAAGAUAAAAGACGAGAAGACCCUAAGAGUUUUCAAAUUUUUUCGUUGGGGCGACGAGGAGUCAUUUAACACUCUAAUUAAUAAUAUAACGGAUUUUUCAUAAAUAGAUAAACUACCUUAGGGAUAACAGCAUAAUCCUUUUGGGUUUGUGACCUCGAUGUUGGACUAGGAAGCUUUUAGGCUAGCCGCCUACAAAGGAGAUUCUGUUCGAA
rnacentral:rRNA from 1 species